GACAGAGGGUGCGAACGUUGUUCGGAAUUACUGGGCGUAAAGCGUGUGUAGGCGGCAGCGCAAGUCGGGCGUGAAAGCCCACGGCUCAACCGUGGAAGUGCACUCGAAACUGCGCAGCUAGAGUCCUGGAGAGGAAGGUGGAAUGCUUGGUGUAGAGGUGAAAUUCGUAGAUAUCAAGCGGAACACCGGUGGCGAAGGCGGCCUUACUGGACAGUGACGUGACGCUGAGACACGAAAGCGUGGGGAGCAACAGGAUAAGAUACCGUUGAGUCCAGUAC
rnacentral:rRNA from 1 species